AUACGUAGGUGGCAAGCGUUGUCCGGAAUUAUUGGGCGUAAAGCGCAUGUAGGCGGUAAUUUAAGUCUGUCGUGAAACUGCGGGGCUCGGCCCCGUAUGGCGAUGGAAACUGUGGCACUUGAGUGCAGGAGAGGAAAGGGGAACUCCCAGUGUAGCGGUGAAAUGCGUAGAUAUUGGGAAGAACACCGGUGGCGAAGGCGCCUUUCUGGACUGUGUCUGACGCUGAGAUGCGAAAGCCAGGGUAGCGAACGGGAUUAGAUACCCCGGUAGUCCUGGCCGUAAACGAUGGGUACUAGGUGUGGGAGGUAUCGACCCCUUCCGUGCCGGAGUUAACGCAAUAAGUACCCCGCCUGGGGAGUACGGCCGCAAGGCUUAAACUCAAAGGAAUUGACGGGG
rnacentral:rRNA from 1 species